AUACGUAGGUGACAAGCGUUAUCCGGAUUUACUGGGUGUAAAGGGCGUGUAGGCGGUUUAGCAAGUCAGAAGUGAAAUUCCCGGGCUUAACCUGGGCGCUGCUUCUGAAACUGCUUUACUUGAGUGCUGGAGAGGAUAGUGGAAUUCCUAGUGUAGCGGUAAAAUGCGCAGAUAUUAGGAGGAACACCGGUGGCGAAGGCGGCUAUCUGGACAGUAACUGACGCUGAGGCGCGAAAGCACGGGGAGCAAACAGGAUUAGAUACCCUGGUAGUCCGUGCCGUAAACGAUGAAUACUAGGUGUAGGGGGUAUCGACUCCCUCUGUGCCGCAGUUAACACAUUAAGUAUUCCACCUGGGGAGUACGGCCGCAAGGUUGAAACUCAAAUGAAUUGACGGGG
rnacentral:rRNA from 1 species